rnacentral:rRNA from 1 species
UACGUAGGGGCCAAGCGUUGUCCGGAUUUAUUGGGCGUAAAGAGCUCGUAGGCGGUUCGGCAAGUCAGCUGUGAAAUCUCCACGCUCAACGUGGAGGGGUCAGCUGAUACUGCUGUGACUCGAGUCCGGUAGGGGAGUGUGGAAUUCCGGUGUAGCGGUAGAAAUGCGCAGAUAUCGGGAGGAACACCAGUAGCGAAGGCGGCACUCUGGGCCGGUACUGACGCUGAGGAGCGAAAGCGUGGGGAGCGAACAGG